CUGGUGCCAACCGACUGACGUCACACAGGCGACACUGGUUGGAUCCGGUUGGAUCUAUGGGAAGUGAGGUCCAAUAACACACCUGCAAAUACCGCUUCUCGCCAUUGGUACCGCCGAAGAGAACGAAAUGGAAAUCUUGGAGAUAGGCCUAUUUCACAUUUCCAGAUGUGAUGGGCCACAGAGAAGGGUGAGAACAUGGUGUGGCCGGAGAAGAAGACACACCACCUGCACAUCUUUGUUUUCCCUUACAUACUGCCGCUACAUGUCCAUAUUUUUUUGAACAUUUAUAACAUCUAAGAGGUGGGGGAAUAUAAGGUCUAACAUCUUAGCUCAUACACACCCAAUGUAUAUUUUGCUGGCAGUGUUUCCUCAUCAAAGUUUAUCAUUAUGGACAAGCUAUCACAUUUCUCUCCAUUUUUGACGUUCAGGCAUCAGACAUUUAACCUCUGUUAACCUUUUGUAUUGGAUUUUCUUUAAUUUUAUCCAUUGUUAUAUGUACUGGUAUUCCUGCAAUAACUCCUCAAACCCACUUUCUUUCACCCAACUUUGAACACGUUAAGUUCUUGCCAUUUAUUCUAUUCAUUCUUGGUGCUUGUUGUCUUUUAUCCCUACAUAUAAUCAGCAAAGAUCCAUUUCUUAGUUCUAGCGCUCUUUACCUCCCCUAUUACUUGAAUGAAGUACCCUCCUGCAUCAAUUUAACAAUUACCUUGCAUUCCUCUCUUUUCUUUCUCACUACAACUGUUCUUUCUUCAUCUUCCGAAGUAGUAUUUUGAUUCUUUUUACUUUUAUUCUUUCUAGUUAUACUCCAUUCCUCUUUUUUCCCACCACUGUCACUGCAAAACCUUGCCUGCUGCAAUAACAGUUGUCUUCCACUUCUGGUCAGUUCCGGUCAACACCUUAUUGGAUAAUAAAUAAAAAAAAUUCCUCAGCAAUAUUGAAUCUAAAACAGAGGUUUAAGCCAAAUAUGCUUCACUUUGAUGAGAACCAGGUAAAUGAAUCAGAAAUUUGUAUUAAUCUGUUCUUUUAAAGCUUAUCUUUUAACAAUCUCUUUAAUCUUGUUAUAUCUAAAUGUAAAACAGUCUGUAACCUUGCUUUUGAAAAUCGCAAUACAAAAUAAGUUAUUUCUUAUAAAUUCUUUAAAUAUGCGAAUUUGGCAAAUCGUUAUCACUGAUUCCCAAUAGAAUGCUGAGGUGAGUUGAACGUGGACUACCUCUUUGAUGUAAUACUUAAAGAGGUGAGAUGUGAGUGCUGAGUUCUAAUUGAUAUUGGUUACAUGAUAAACAAUAAUUGAUGUGUAAAGGGGACUAGUGACUUGUGUUUUCUGUUUUAAAGGUCAUCAUCAGAAUCCUGGAAAGGAAUGAAAGUUUCAGCCAGAAGACGUUUUGCCAUUAGAAGCUUCAGAAACCAAGCAAUUGAUUGUCUUGAUUAUUUAUUUAUUUAUUGUUUGUUUUUUAUGCUUGAAUAAAGAACUUACUGAGGAAAUG